UCAAACCGGAGGGAACCAUGGGGAAUAAUGCCCAAUGGGGGAAACCCUGAAGCCACCCUGCCCCGGGGGGGAAAAAAGCCCUCCGGUUGGAAAACACUUUCCAUUGGGAAGAAAAGGUGGUAAUUAAAACCCGCCAACUGGGACCUUAAACACCAAAAAAACACCCGCUAACUCCCUGCCCACCGCCCCCGUAAUACCGAAGGGGCCAACCUUAAUCCGAAUUACCGGGCCUAAAGCCCACCCCGGGCGUUUGGUUAACCAAAUGGUAAAACCCCCGGCUCCACCCGGGAAGGUCCUUUAAAACUGGCAAAACAAAAUCCUGGAAAAGGGAGGGGAAUUCCCGGGGGAACCGUGAAAUGCCUAAAAUUCUGGAAGAACAUUCAUGGCCAAGGGCGGUCCCUGGCCAAAAAACGAACCUCCUGGUGCAAAAAGGGGGUAACCAACAAGAUUAAAACCCCCGGUAAGCCCCACCCCAAAACCCGCCCACCAACCGGU
rnacentral:rRNA from 1 species